UAUAAGCAAGUGACCGCAUGGUGUAAAUCGGAGCGAGUCAUAUAUAUAUUUACGAGGUGGUAAUAAAUAUCAUCUCGCUAAUAUAAUCGGUCAAUUCGGCCAAACGGGUCAAAAGGUGAAAUUAUCACCCUUUGACAAUAUCGACUAAUGGGUUGUCAAGAUGCAUGAUUUUAGGAAAUAAAUAGCACAUGGAUGCUUACAUCGCUAUCGCUUAGCAGCCACUAAGGAAAUGUAUUGAAACGGGUCAAUAUAUUGAUCCGAGCCAGGUGAAGAUGGGAUAAGCGGUUUGAAAGAUACGAAAGUUUUCGUGCAAAUAAACGGCAAAAUAGGAAAGCUGGAAUGCAGGGGCCACCGUAACUUACGGUGCCACCGUAAGUUACGGUGGAGCUGAAGGCUUUACGGCAGCCCCCUACUGAUUUACGGUUCUUUUUGGAUGCCGGAAGACGAUCAAGCUCAUCGAAGGACCGAACACGAUAAAGAUACAUGCUUCCGCACAUUUCCUCGUCGUAAAUUUUUAAACGACAAAUUCGAUCACUUAUGUUGAAUAACUUAUGAUUUGUAAAAGUUUUAAUAAACUCGUAUUUUCAUAGUA